AAUCCCAAGUAAANUCCCGUACGGGUGANAAACACGUGGAUCAUCUACCUUUUAGUGGGGAAUACCUCUGGNANCCCGGAGACAAUACCGAAUAAGCCCGCAAGGGGAAAGCAGCAAUGCGCUGGAAGAGGAGUCCGCGGCUGAUUAGCUAGUUGGUGAGGUAAUGGCUCACCAAGGCGAAGAUCGGUAGCCGGCCUGAGAGGGCACACGGCCACACUGGCACUGAAACACGGGCCAGACUCCUACGGGAGGCAGCAGUGGGGAAUCUUGCACAAUGGAGGAAACUCUGAUGCAGCGACGCCGCGUGAGCGAUGAAGCCCUUCGGGGUGUAAGCUCUUUCGACGGGAAAGAUGAUGACGGUACCCGGAGAAGAAGCUGCGGCUAACUACGUGGCCAGCAGCCGCGGUAAUACGUUAGGCAGCGA
rnacentral:rRNA from 1 species